rnacentral:rRNA from 1 species
ACUUAAAUUGAAGAGUUUGAUCAUGGCUCAGAUUGAACGCUGGCGGCAGGCCUAACACAUGCAAGUCGAGCGGCAGCGGGAAAGUAGCUUGCUACUUUUGCCGGCGAGCGGCGGACGG